rnacentral:rRNA from 1 species
CUGCUCCCCUCCCCUCCUGCUCGUCUCGCGGGCUCAGUGGCACACUGGGCGUUCGCGCUCGCGUCGGUGUGUUCAGCGCUUUUGCCCUGCCGCGUCCGUCCGUCGUGAGGGUGUGCUCUGCUGUUCUUGUUGUUUUUUUGUUUUGUUUUUGUUUUUCUUGUUGGAGUAUUUGUUUUUGUGUUAUUUGUACGUCGUGAUCAACCUUGGANACGUAAAGUCGUUACAAGGUUUCCGUAGGUGAACCUGCGGAAGGAUCAUUAC